AGGGUUUGAUUCUGGCUCAGGAUGAACGCUGGCGGCGUGCUUAACACAUGCAAGUCGAACGAACCUUCGGGUUAGUGGCGGACGGGUGAGUAACGCGUGAGAAUCUGCCCUCAGGAGGGGGAUAACGGUUGGAAACGACCGCUAAUACCCCAUAUGCCUACUGGUGAAAUGAAUUUCGCCUGAGGAUGAGCUCGCGUCUGAUUAGCUAGUUGGUGAGGUAAUGGCUCACCAAGGCUUCGAUCAGUAGCUGGUCUGAGAGGAUGAUCAGCCACACUGGGACUGAGACACGGCCCAGACUCCUACGGGAGGCAGCAGUGGGGAAUUUUCCGCAAUGGGCGAAAGCCUGACGGAGCAACGCCGCGUGAGGGACGAAGGCCUCUGGGCUGUAAACCUCUUUUCUCAAGGAAGAAGAUAUGACGGUACUUGAGGAAUAAGCCACGGCUAAUUCCGUGCCAGCCGCCGCGGUAAUAC
rnacentral:rRNA from 1 species